CCAUCGCUUUCCGAAGCUUUGCUCAGGCCUUAAGAGCAGACAGUCCUCCUCCAGCCGAGCCGCAUCUCCUACCUCCGUGACAUUCCACACGGCAGACUGGCC